GAUGAUCUGAUCGAUUGACGCUGGCGGCAGGCCUAACACAUGCAAGUCGAGCGGCAGCACGAGGGAGUUUACUCCUGAGGUGGCGAGCGGCGGACGGGUGAGUAAUGCCUAGGGAUCUGCCCAGUCGAGGGGGAUAACAGUUGGAAACGACUGCUAAUACCGCAUACGCCCUACGGGGGAAAGAGGGGGACCUUCGGGCCUCUCGCGAUUGGAUGAACCUAGGUGGGAUUAGCUAGUUGGUGAGGUAAUGGCUCACCAAGGCGACGAUCCCUAGCUGUUCUGAGAGGAUGAUCAGCCACACUGGGACUGAGACACGGCCCAGACUCCUACGGGAGGCAGCAGUGGGGAAUAUUGCACAAUGGGGGAAACCCUGAUGCAGCCAUGCCGCGUGUGUGAAGAAGGCCUUCGGGUUGUAAAGCACUUUCAGUAGGGAGGAAAGGGUGAGUCUUAAUACGGCUCAUCUGUGACGUUACCUACAGAAGAAGGACCGGCUAACUCCGUGCCAGCCGCCGCGGUAAU
rnacentral:rRNA from 1 species